UACGGGGGGAGCAAGCGUUGUUCGGAUUUACUGGGCGUAAAGGGCGCGUGGGCGGCCACCGCAAGUCGACUGUGAAAUCUCCGGGCUUAACCCGGAAAGGUCAGCCGAUACUGCGGGGCUAGAGUGCAGAAGGGGCAACUGGAAUUCUCGGUGUAGCGGUGAAAUGCGUAGAUAUCGAGAGGAACACCUGCGGCGAAGGCGGGUCUCUGGGCCGAUACUGACGCUGAGGAGCGAAAGCGUGGGGAGCGAACAGG
rnacentral:rRNA from 1 species